rnacentral:rRNA from 1 species
AUCGAACGCUGGCGGCGUGCCUAAUACAUGCAAGUCGAGCGCUGGAAAUCGACGGAACCCUUCGGGGGGAAGUCGACGGAAUGAGCGGCGGACGGGUGAGUAACACGUAAAGAACCUGCCCUCAGGUCUGGGAUAACCACGAGAAAUCGGGGCUAAUACCGGAUGGGUCAUCGGACCGCAUGGUCCGAGGAUGAAAGGCGCUCCGGCGUCGCCUGGGGAUGGCUUUGCGGUGCAUUAGCUAGUUGGUGGGGUAAUGGCCCACCAAGGCGACGAUGCAUAGCCGACCUGAGAGGGUGAUCGGCCACACUGGGACUGAGACACGGCCCAGACUCCUACGGGAGGCAGCAGUAGGGAAUCUUCCACAAUGGACGAAAGUCUGAUGGAGCAACGCCGCGUGAACGAUGAAGGCCUUCGGGUCGUAAAGUUCUGUUGUAAGGGAAGAACAAGUGCCGCAGGCAAUGGCGGCACCUUGACGGUACCUUGCGAGAAAGCCACGGCUAACUACGUGCCAGCCGCCGCGGUAAGAC